rnacentral:rRNA from 1 species
AUACGGAGGGUGCAAGCGUUAUUCGGAAUCACUGGGCGUAAAGGACGCGUAGGCGGGUUGGCAAGUCAGAUGUGAAAUCCUACAGCUUAACUGUAGAACUGCAUUUGAAACUGCUAACCUAGAGUAUGGGAGGGGGAGAUGGAAUUAGUGGUGUAGGGGUACAAUCCGUAGAUAUCACUAGGAAUACCGAAAGCGAAGGCGAUCUCCUGGAACAUAACUGACGCUAAGGCGCGAAAGCGUGGGGAGCAAACAGGAUUAGAAACCCGAGUAGUCC